CACGUAGGCGGCAUGGUAAGUCAAAGGUGAAAGCCCUCGGCUCAACCGGGGAAUUGCCUUUGAAACUGCUUUGCUUGAGUCCGGGAGGGGGGAGCGGAAUUCCCAGAGUAGCGGUGAAAUGCGUAGAUACUGGGAGGAACACCGGUGGCGAAGGCGGCUCCCUGGACCGGUACUGACGCUGAGGUGCGAAAGCGUGGGUAGCAAACA
rnacentral:rRNA from 1 species